UGCACAGGAUGAGGGGGUCCCAGGGAGACACCUUGAUUCCCUCAGAUACUCAUCAGACUGAGAGCCAGGGAGGGAGGGGCAGUCCACACAGUAGGCCACACUGUAACGGCCGCUCCUGUGUCCAGGCCGCGGCAGUGUAGAUGUUUUACUAGGAAUUCAUCAAGACCUCCCUUGUCUUGGUGACCUGGUGAAGUGUGUCCUCCAACCACUCCAGGGCCCGGCCCCUCUGUGGGCACCUGGGGGCUGUCAGCCCUUCCUCAGGAAUUUCGGCUGCCACGACACUGGAGAGUGGAAACCCUGCACAGGGAGAGGAGAUGCCCCUUCCCACAGCAGGUGACGUUGCCUCCUGGGAGGUGACACUGGUACAGUUACAUCCACUUAGCAGAAUGUCACUUCCAACAAGGAAGGCAGGACAUGGACCCCAUGGAGAACUGGGGCCUGUGACUUCAGCAUCAUGGCAGAGUGAGUCGUUCCCUUUGUCUCUCUCCUCUAAAUUACAACUAAAUGGACAUUCAUUAACCAACAGGAUUCCCUAUACAACACACUAGGACGCCUGAGAGAUCCUUGCAGCCAUGCAUCUGAAGCUGGGGGGACUGGAUCCCUGGGAAGCAGUGGAACCAGGCCGGUGAGUCUCCCAGCGGAGUGUGCCUCGGAACCCCCAGCAAACAGAGUGCUGGCUCCCAGUCCUGGAAUUUCCGGAGCCUGAGGAUCUGCUUUCCUAACAAAUUCCGAGGGGCUGCAGAUGCUACUGAUCCAGAGACCCCAGUAUGAGAACCAGUGACUCAGAUGAAAAUCUCAGAAAUGGACUCGAGAGAAUCCAAGCCUGCAAACUCCGUGAUCCGGUUCUAUCUGGAUGAUGCAAACAGUCAACAGAAGCCCAACAAACACCUGUAGGGCAAAUCGACAGCCUUGCUGAUGGCUGGGAGGAGGGUAGGCAGUGGGGUGGUGGCACGUGGGAGAGUUCCUAUCUGCCCGAGGGGCAGCAAGCGGCACUGACAAGGACGCUGGCUUUCGGUCAGAACGCAGUGGGUCUCAACCUGUCUCUCCCGCCCCACGAUUCUGUAACUGUGGGCAAGCGUGUGAGCCGACACCUCAGUUUCCCCAUCUGUGAAGUGGAGACCGGUUGCCUCACGGAGCUGUGCAGUGAUGAACUGGGGGUCACACAUUCCGUUCAUGCUUCCUCCUCUUGUUACAGCACCGAGACCCCUGGGCACGCCCCCUCCCGCUCCUUGAAGACUCUAGAACCGCUUUCCUAGUGCUCUCUCCACUUGCUUCACCUUCUUGGCAGCUUCAGCAUCCACGUGGAUGGUCCUCCCCAGCCCUGCUCAUAAGCAUCCUCGCAGAGCUGUCGAUGGUCAGUCACCCUUCUGUGUGGGAUCCAGCUGUGACUCUCACUGGAUCCCUCUCGUGCUCAGCUCGUGAGGAUGGUUUCUUUUUCCUCUACACCCUCCCUCGCACGCAGCUGAGGCUAUAAAGUCAGGAAACCCCGGUGGACUUGAGAUCGUGACCUCGUACAUUCAGAAGAAAACCUUGGGCUCUGUGAUCUGCAGCUUAGAAGCCCUUCCUCGUGGCCACUGGCAAAACGCAAAGAUGAGCCUGGCACGUUUCAGGGAAAAAGCCUGAAAUCCAGCAGGACCGCCCGUACAGCACAGUGGCCUUAUCUUCAAGGUUCCAACGACUUUGUGGGGAAAAGCCCAGACCCCAGUAUUACCCCAUUUAUUUAUAGAUUAUUUAAAGCUAAAACGUGAGGACAAUGAACUGUUCGUGCAGCUUUUGGUUUCACACGGAGAACUAUCUUUUUAAGUAUCCUGAUGUGGUUUGAAUGUCUGUGUGUCUCCUUAGAGGAAUUCUUUUUUUUUUAAGGAAGGAGGUGGACUUUAUUUUUUGGAAUUAGUCUGAGAUGGGGUUUUCCAAAUGUCUGUCAUUGCAUUUUGCUUUUACGGUUUUUGUCAUGUGUGUGUACCUUCUAUAUUCUUUUUUGUGUGUGUGAGGAAGA